rnacentral:rRNA from 1 species
GACGAACGCUGGCGGCGUGCUUAACACAUGCAAGUCGAACGAUGAAGCCUAGCUUGCUAGGUGGAUUAGUGGCGAACGGGUGAGUAAUACGUGAGUAACCUACCUUUAACUCUGGGAUAAGCCUGGGAAACUGGGUCUAAUACCGGAUACGACCAAUCUCCGCAUGGGGUGUUGGUGGAAAGCGUUAUGUAGUGGUUAUAGAUGGGCGCACGGCCUAUCAGCUUGUUGGUGAGGUAACGGCUCACAAAGGCGACGACGGGUAGCCGGCCUGAGAGGGGGACCGGCCACACUGGGACUGAGGCACGGCCCAGACUCCUACGGGAGGCAGCAGUGGGGAAUAUUGCACAAUGGGCGCAAGCCUGAUGCAGCGACGCCGCGUGAGGGAUGACGGCCUUCGGGUUGUAAACCUCUGUUAGCAGGGAAGAAGAGAAAUUGACGGUACCUGCAGAGAAAGCGCCGGCUAACUACGUG